rnacentral:sRNA from 1 species
UCUGUAAAAUUUGCAUUACUUGAUAAUUGAUGCUACAUAUGUUUGUUACUUGAUACUGCUUGAUACUGUGUUUUUCUUCUUACUGAAUUCGGGCAACCAAGUUUAAGAUUCAGGCAUGUCAAAAUUUGAGUUCACUUGCCCGAAGGGCAAGUGAAUUUAAAAGUUAAUGUCUAUCCCUGCAUUGUGGAACAGGCCAAGGAGCAGUCCGGACAGACUGUCAACAACUACCAGGUAAUUUACAGUGAAUUCCUAGAUUUUACCCACUUUUAGUUAUUAGAUGCAUAUAUAUAUUUACAGCACUAACUGUUUUGUAUCUAUUCAGAUGGCAGACAAACCAUAUAACAUUCUCACGAAGGAACUGCCUACGUUGACAUCACAAACAUCGGGCUGGACUUCGUACUCAAACUACACCCAACCAACUCCAUGGUCCACUCAUUGCACUUACACACCAGAACAAACUUCAAACAUGUCACUAGAUGCACCAGCACUUACACUCAAAACACCAACAAAGCAAAAUUCAACAUGCAAUACACAGUUUCAACAUUUCACACCAUUGCAGGAUGCCACACUCAUGUCAAAUCCCCAAAGUUUUUUGCCAACCAACAACACUCCACCACAAAAUACAAACACACAGCCAUUGCAAAACACAAAUAUACCAUCAUUACAAAUUCAGUCUGUUCCACUCCAGAACAGUCACACAGCCAUUACAAAACACAACCAUGGCAUCACCACCUAGCACCACAUCAUUUACCACAAUGUCACCCCAAACAACCCUGCCAGCUACCCCUAGAAGAUCCCCAAGAAAGCACUGUACCACACCAGAAGCUUCAAACGGCCAUAUGACAGCUACUUGCAAGCCAUAGCUUGAGUGUCAGAGGAGAAGCACUAAGAAAAGCCAAGGAAGCAGCAAAGAAAGUGCAUCCAUCAAAAAUGGCUUUUACCAUGAUGGCAAAACUGCUCCCAGCUAUAUUCACCUGGGAGGAAUAAGCAUCCAGCAGGGGCCAGGGGCUUAAAUCUAAAGAAGGGGACACAAGACCAGUCAUAGAUGUUUCCAAAAUGACCAUCUUGAAAAAAUAUGUAGCUGUUUGGUGUCAGCAAAAUGGGGGACAAGGAAGUUUUGCUGAGAAAGAUGUGAAUGAUGCAGUGACGGAGCAAUUAAGAGUCGUAUGAAAGGAAGAAGAUGAAAACCAAGACAUCAAAAAGCUGAGAGAGAGAGAGAGAGAGUUAGGGAGAGUGGAGUAAGCAAUGAGAAAGAGAGAAAGGGAAAUAGUUUUACAUGAAAUCUAGGGGACAAUUUUCUUUAAUCUGCUUAAGAUAUUCAAUCUGACAUACUCAUUAACUUUUAAAUUGUAUGAAUAGAUGAUUGAUCAAUAUGUAUAAUUAAUAAGUCAUGUAUUAUUGUGAAAAAUUUUAGUUGAUCAUUUUCUCUGUAGAUUUGCAAAUUUACUGGCAGAAUAUUUAGGUGGAAUGUUUAACUGGAAUCUUUAGACUGAUUCCGGGUAUAGUUCGCUCAAAUUCCGUCUAAUAUUCUGCCUAUGCAUUAGCAGGAAUUUUUAAGCGGUUUUUAAAGGCGGAAUUCUAAAGCCGACUAAUUAACACAAUCUGUCUAUUUUCCCUCCUGAAUUCCAUUCAGAAUCCAUCUGAAUUUCGCUUGUUUUCCAUCUAAGCUUCAUUGUGCUUUUAUAUUGCUUAAUUUAGACAGAUUCUGUUUAUAAUGUCCGCCUUUUCUUCGCUUGAAACUUUUUGUAUGGGCACUAUUUAUUGUUUGUUGUUGAAGAUCGAUACUAAUCUUCUGAAUAUAUACUAUAUAUGAAAAUAAAGUUAUUUAUUUU